CGCAUCCGUGCUAUGGGUCCUUUCCCACCACCCGCACAUUUGAUCUCCGGCCGCGGCGGCGGACGGCGCCGGGAGCCUUGCAUGGAGAGUUCCUGCUGGGGACUGUAUGGAAGGAUGGCAGCUGCAGAACCUUUGACUGCUUUCUCCCGCUGGUACCUCUAUGCCAUUCAUGGCUACUUCUGUGAGGUGAUGUUCACAGCCGCUUGGGAAUUUGUGGUGAAUUUCAACUGGAAAUUCCCAGGUGUCACCAGUGUAUGGGCACUCUUCAUCUAUGGAACUUCCAUCCUCAUUGUAGAAAAGAUGUACCUGUACCUGAAGGACAAGUGUAACAUACUAGUGCGCUGCCUCAUUUACACCAUGUGGACGUAUGCUUGGGAGUUCACCACUGGCUUCAUCCUGCGCCAAUUCAAUGCCUGCCCUUGGGACUAUUCACAGUUUGACUUGAACUUCAUGGGCCUCAUAACCCUGGAGUAUGCCAUUCCAUGGUUCUGUGCAGCAUUUAUCAUGGAACAGCUAGUCAUCAGGAACACCCUGCGUUUGCGUUUUGAUGAGAAUGCUGAACCAGGGGUUCCCACUGCUGCUGUAACCUUGGCCAAUGGCCACGUGAAAACUAAUUGAAUAGCAACUUAGAGCUACGACUUGACUAAGUGAACUCUCCUGCCCCCUUCAUUGGAGACUUGUGAUGAUGGCCUCAAAAACAAAACUUCUCCUUCCUGUAUGAUAAACAAACCUCCUGCAUUUGGAGGUGUGCAUGAAAAAAAUGGAAUCAGUAGGUUUUCUAUGGAUUUUACUCUUUUUGGUUUUUUAAGCCACAAGUAGCACUGUCAGUUACCUGUUGGCUAGAUAGUUUGACUUGUAACUUUAACUUACUAUGAAACCAAUCCUAUUACCUGCGUUUUACUGCAUACGGGGGGAAAAAUAAGAAAACUGCUAGUCAACCUUGUACAAAUAACAAGUUAGUAGAUUGGCACGGAUGCCCCAGUUAACUUACUGAUUGGCUUAUAUCCAUUAGGCAAUAUUCAGGUGCUUGCUUGCAACCAAUACCUCCCAUGGGACCUGAGAUGCUGCAGGAUCAAGGAACAAUCAACAGCUGUUGAGACGGCCCAAAAGUGGCAGUCUAAUGGGGAGGUUCAGCCUCUAUACCAGAAGACUGGAGAAUGGCCUAUGUAACAUCAAUUUUUAAUAAGGGCUCCAGGGGUAUCCAGGAAAUUACACGCCAGUUAGCUUAACAUCUGUUCUGGGUAAAUUGGUUGAAAGAAUUAUUAAAGGUAAAAUUAGUAAGCAUGUAGAAGGAUAAGCCCUGUUGAAAACAAAUCAACAUGGCUUCCGUAGAUGUAAAUCCUGUCUCACUAAUAUUUUAGAGUUCUAUGAAAGUGUGAAUAAACAUGUAUAUGGGGUGAUAUAGUAGACAUUAUCCAAAACCUUUUGGAAGUCCAAGUAAACAAAGUCUUACACCAAAAGCUCCAGAGCAAACUUAGCAGUCAUGGAAUAAGAGGAGAGGUCCUUUUAUGAAUCAAUACUUGGUUCAAGAAGAAAAAGUAUGAAUACAUGGUAAAUUCUCCCAGUGGAGAAUUGGGAUCUGUAUUGGUACCAAUGCUUUUCAACUUAUUCAUAUAUGAUCUGUAAUUAGGAAUGAGCAGUGAGCAUUAAGUUUGCUGAUGACACCAAAUUAUUUAGGGUGGUUAAGACAAAAUAACUGUGAAGAGCUCCAAAAAGUUUUCUCCAGGCUGGAAGAAUUGGCAUCAAAAUGGCAAAUGUGGUUCAAUGUAAGCAAAGUAUAAAGUGAUGCAUGUUGGGGCAAAAAAAUCCCAACUUCACAUAUGUGCUGAUGGGAUUUGAUCUAGCAAUGACUGACCAAGAAAAUGAUCUUGGGGUUUGUGGUGGACAGCUCAAUGAAAAUGUCAAUCCAGUUUGCAGCUACUGUGAAAAGGCAAAUUCCAUGUUAGGCAUAAUUAGGAAAGGAAUUGAAAAUAUAAAUCUAUGAUGCAACUACACUUAGAAUAUUGUGUACAGUUCUGGUUACCACACUUUAAAAUGAAGUUGUACUGCUAGAACAAGUGCUGAAAGGGGCAACUAAAAUGAUCAAGGGUCUGGAGCAACUCCCCUGUGAGGAAAGGUUACAACAUUUGGGAUUGUUUAGUUUAGAGAAAAGGUGAGUGAGAGAAGACACCGUGCGGAGGAAGUAGAUAAGAAGACGUCUUUUCCCCGUUUAAUAAUACUAGAACCCGGGCUCAUCCUGUGAAGCUGAUUGGUGGGAGAUACACUACUUCUUCACACCAUGCAAAGUUAAACUAUGAGCUCCACUUCCACAAGAUGCAGUGUGGUGGGACUGGACAAAUUUGUGGAGGAUCAAUGGUUACUCGUCCUGAUGGCUAUGUGCUACCUCCAGUACCAGAGGCAGUAUACCUGUGUAGACUGGUUGCUGAGGAACAUGGGCAGGAGGGUGCUGUUGCACUCAUGUCCUGCUUGUAGGUUUCCUGUGGUCAGCUGGUUGUUCACAGUGUGAACAAAAUGCUAGACUAGAUGGACUCUUGGUUUGAUCCAGGACACCUCUUAUGUUCUUAUGAUGGGCAGGAGCAUUGGCAACAGGAGCUUAAUCAGGUCUGCCCUGUGCUAGAGACAGUCUAUUGCCUGAAAUCCUCAGCAAACAGAGAGAGUUUAGCAAUCCCUUGUUGCAGUUCAUCAGUUUUUUGUUCCUAUAAAAAAAAAUACUACUGUAUUAAAUUGUUUUGUGUAUGGUGCGGAACCAUACAUUGCAGAUUUCUUACUGGCCCUAAAUCUAUGCUCAACUGGAGUUGUAAAUAAAGUAGUGGGGCAGUUCAUGGACUUAAGCCCUCUUACAGUGCAAUUAUAUUAUACAUGUAGUCUGAAAUAAGUCCAUUUUAGUUCCCCUGCAAUAGGCCAGGGGGUUGGUCUAGAUGAUCUCCAAGUUCUUUCCACCUCUGAAAUGAUAUGAUUUGUAGUGGGUAUCGGAUUACAGCCUUAAAUAGUGGGACUUAGUGAAUACUGUGAAAAUAAUUGUUCUCUUGGCAUCUCACGCCUCUAAACUUCAGAUCCCAACCACAAAAGAACUGUUUAGAAAACAUUAAAAGAAAUUUUCUUCCCAAGUAUUUUGUGAUGGAGGGAAUAGUACAAGUAUAAAAUGGCCAAAGUGUGAAGUUUCUGGUAUCCACUUGUAAAUUAUAAGAUAAAGCUGGAUAAAUACAGUCUUCCACUUUUACUGGUGGUCACGGACUUCUAAUGAGUUCAGGACACAAUCCUAUGCAUGUUUAGACAGAAAAAAGUUCUACAACUCCCAGCAUUCCCCAGCUAUCAUGGUUGCUUGGGGCGGGGCAUGCUGGGAAUUGUAGGACUUUUCUGUCUAAACAUACAUAGGAUUGAGCCCUUAGACAUUCAGUUCCGUUCUAUAUUACCUUGAAACCCUGGUUCCUUAACUGGCAUUUCAAAAGCAUAAAAGGUUUUAAAAUGGCAAAGCAGCUGACUAGGAAGGUAUCCAUCUUGGUGGUAGUAAUAUCUAUCCUGUGCAUUGACCAGAAGCACAAUCCCAUGUCCUUUGUGGGGUCUAUAAUCUCAUCCAAAGUGGCACAGUUAUUACAUGGCUGGUCAGUAGUUACUUGCUUACACUGAAGAGCUUAUGAAGCCCUCAUACAAAUUAGCUACAUUUUCCCAUGGUGCAUCAAAACAUCACCUCCUAAAGCUUACUUUAUGUCAUUUUAUCUGGUUUGUACUGCACAGACAUGUUGUCAGGGGGCUAUAAUUUUCACACACAAGUGCACUUUAUUCACAGUUUGCACACCAAGUACUGAGCUGGGUCUAAUAAAUGAUCUCUUGCCUGUGUAGCAUCGACCAGAUAACCCAUUGACCAAAUGAAUUUUCUUUAACAUUUGUCUUCAUUCUCUCCAAGUUACUGUGAAGUGUCAGGGCCCCAGAUCUCUUUACUGUUUUUGAAGAAAUUCAACUUGGUUGCAGCCAGAGAUCUACCUUUUUUAAACUUCACAUAUGUUUCUUUCUUCUCUCAAUUCAAGUGAAAAACAAUACAAAACUACUGAUGUUGUUUUACAGCCGUGUUGCUUAAACUACACAGCAAUGACAGCCACAAUGCUGACAAUAGUGGCAUACAAAACACAUAACAAUAAAACGCACACAAUCCUCAGUUAAAUAUUUGCUUGUAUCUGUAUCCUCCUCAGUAGAUUAAAGUUGCCUGUUUGAAUUCA